UUGAAAACUAGUAACAUUAUCAUCAGACCUGUUGAUCACCUUAUACUUGCAGCCACAUUUCAUGACUCGUUUCGAUGGAAUGUAAACAGAUAAGUGGGGCUAAUAAUGUAUUUUUAAUCAUACAAACAGCCACAAGUACCUCGUGUGCAUCACUUGAGAUCCUCGAGAAACGUAUGGCGAUUGAAUGAAAGCUUCUUGUACAUUGCAGAAACUCUAAAUAUGAAAAAGAUAAGUUAUAUUGGUUGAAAGUGUUCAUCCCGAAUUGAUCCCAGAUCAACGAACCUAGACAUAAAUAAUUAGAAGAAAAUAAAAAUGAGUUUCUGCUGAAA